rnacentral:rRNA from 1 species
AUUGAACGCUGGCGGCAUGCUUUACACAUGCAAGUCGAACGGUAACAGGCCGCAAGGUGCUGACGAGUGGCGAACGGGUGAGUAAUGCAUCGGAACGUGCCCAGUCGUGGGGGAUAACUACUCGAAAGAGUAGCUAAUACCGCAUACGAUCUAUGGAUGAAAGCGGGGGACCGUAAGGCCUCGCGCGAUUGGAGCGGCCGAUGUCAGAUUAGGUAGUUGGGGGGGUAAAGGCUCACCAAGACAACGAUCUGUAGCUGGUCUGAGAGGACGACCAGCCACACUGGGACUGAGACACGGCCCAGACUCCUACGGGAGGCAGCAGUGGGGAAUUUUGGACAAUGGGCGCAAGCCUGAUCCAGCAAUGCCGCGUGCAGGAAGAAGGCCUUCGGGUUGUAAACUGCUUUUGUACGGAACGAAACGGCUCUGGUUAAUACCCGGGGCUAAUGACGGUACCGUAAGAAUAAGCACCGGCUAACUACGUG